UGAGGAAUAUUGGUCAAUGGGCGAGAGCCUGAACCAGCCAAGUAGCGUGCAGGAUGACGGCCCUAUGGGUUGUAAACUGCUUUUAUAUGGGAAUAAAGUGAGGGACGUGUCCCUUAUUGCAUGUACCAGACGAAUAAGGACCGGCUAAUUCCGUGCCAGCAGCCGCGGUAAUACGGAAGGUCCAGGCGUUAUCCGGAUUUACUGGGCGUAAAGGGUGCGUAGGUGGUCUUUCAAGUCGGUGGUUAAAGGCUACGGCUCAACCGUAGUUAGCCUCCGAAACUGGAAGACUUGAGUGCAGGAGAGGAAAGUGGAAUUCCCAGUGUAGCGGUGAAAUGCGUAGAUAUUGGGAGGAACACCAGUAGCGAAGGCGGCUUUCUGGACUGCAACUGACACUGAGGCACGAAAGCGUGGGUAGCAAACAGG
rnacentral:rRNA from 1 species